rnacentral:rRNA from 1 species
GAAAAAGAACCUGAAACCGUGUACGUACAAGCAGUGGGAGCACAGGUUUACCUGUGUGACUGCGUACCUUUUGUAUAAUGGGUCAGCGACUUAUAUUCUGUAGCAAGGUUAACCGCAUAGGGGAGCCGGAGGGAAACCGAGUCUUAACCGGGCGUUAAGUUGCAGGGUAUAGACCCGAAACCCGGUGAUCUAGCCAUGGGCAGGUUGAAGGUUGGGUAACACUAACUGGAGGACCGAACCGACUAAUGUUGAAAAAUUAGCGGAUGACCUGUGGCUGGGGGUGAAAGGCCAAUCAAACCGGGAGAUAGCUGGUUCUCCCCGAAAGCUAUUUAGGUAGCGCCUCGUGAAUUCAUCUCCGGGGGUAGAGCACUGUUUCGGCUAGGGGGCCAUCCCGGCUUACCAACCCGAUGCAAACUGCGAAUACCGGAGAAUGUUAUCACGGGAGACACACGGCGGGUGCUAACGUCCGUCGUGAAGAGGGAAACAACCCAGACCGCCAGCUAAGGUCCCAAAGUCAUGGUUAAGUGGGAAACGAUGUGGGAAGGCCCAGACAGCCAGGAUGUUGGCUUAGAAGCAGCCAUCAUUUAAAGAAAGCGUAAUAGCUCACUGGUCGAGUCGGCCUGCGCGGAAGAUGUAACGGGGCUAAACCAU